rnacentral:rRNA from 1 species
UGGCUCAGGAUGAACGCUGGCGGCGUGCCUAAUACAUGCAAGUCGAGCGAACGGACGAGAAGCUUGCUUCUCUGAUGUUAGCGGCGGACGGGUGAGUAACACGUGGAUAACCUACCUAUAAGACUGGGAUAACUUCGGGAAACCGGAGCUAAUACCGGAUAAUAUUUUGAACCGCAUGGUUCAAAAGUGAAAGACGGUCUUGCUGUCACUUAUAGAUGGAUCCGCGCUGCAUUAGCUAGUUGGUAAGGUAACGGCUUACCAAGGCAACGAUGCAUAGCCGACCUGAGAGGGUGAUCGGCCACACUGGAACUGAGACACGGUCCAGACUCCUACGGGAGGCAGCAGUAGGGAAUCUUCCGCAAUGGGCGAAAGCCUGACGGAGCAACGCCGCGUGAGUGAUGAAGGUCUUCGGAUCGUAAAACUCUGUUAUUAGGGAAGAA